UACGAAGGGGGCUAGCGUUGUUCGGAAUUACUGGGCGUAAAGCGCGCGUAGGCGGACAUUUAAGUCAGGGGUGAAAUCCCGGGGCUCAACCCCGGAACGGCCUUUGAUACUGGGUGUCUUGAGUGAGGAAGAGGUGAGUGGAAUUCCGAGUGUAGAGGUGAAAUUCGUAGAUAUUCGGAGGAACACCAGUGGCGAAGGCGGCUCACUGGUCCACAACUGACGCUGAGGCGCGAAAGCGUGGGGAGCAAACAGG
rnacentral:rRNA from 1 species